AGUGAACGCUGGCGGUAGGCCUAACACAUGCAAGUCGAACGGCAGCACAGUAAGAGCUUGCUCUUACGGGUGGCGAGUGGCGGACGGGUGAGGAAUACAUCGGAAUCUACUUUUUCGUGGGGGAUAACGUAGGGAAACUUACGCUAAUACAGCAUACGACCUACGGGUGAAAGCAGGGGAUCUUCGGACCUUGCGCGAUUGAAUGAGCCGAUGUCGGAUUAGCUAGUUGGCGGGGUAAAGGCUCACCAAGGCGACGAUCCGUAGCUGGUCUGAGAGGAUGAUCAGCCCCACUGGAACUGAGACACGGUCCAGACUCCUACGGAAGGCAGCAGUGGGGAGUAUUGGACAAUGGGCGCAAGCCUGUUCCAGCCAUACCGCGUGGGUGAAGAAGGCCUUCGGGUUGGAAAGCCCUUUUGUUGGGAAAGAAAAGCAGCAGGUUAAUACCCCGCUGUUCUGACGGUACCCAAAGAAUAAGCACCGGCUAACUUCGUG
rnacentral:rRNA from 1 species